GCAGCCGCCGGUUUCUUCAUCUCGCACAAAUCUUUCGCCUUUUACUAAAGAUUUUCCGCGGAGGGGAACUGCCCCGAAGCUAUUUGUAUUUUGGAAGCUCUGUUUCGGGCGGAGCU